rnacentral:lncRNA from 1 species
CCUUAGUCUGUCACAGUCAGCAUAUUAUGUAAGUAUUCAAUAUCCCUUCAGUCAGCAAUAAUCAUGUUAUAAACCUUAUAAAAGCAUAAAAUACAUAUAAACAAGUUAACUAUUUAAUAUUCUUACAUUCCCCUCUUUGAGCAAUAAAACAAUUGCUCAUCUUAUCGAUAAAAUCUUACCAGGACAGAGAAACAUCCACAUGGUAUUUUCAGGGGUGCUAGUCACUCCCUGCGGGACUUUCAUUAAUUUAUUCACCUCGAUUCCCAUGUGGUAAUUCCUAAGGCCCAGUUUAAAGAUGGGUUAAUACCCUACAGUGGCAGAGAGGAGAAUUUUUAAUUGUUUCUGUUCUGCAUUAUGGAUUAAUUUCUGUACUCUCUUCCUCAAUGUACAACUAAGGUGACAGUUAUAUAAAAUCAUACACAAUAAAAUCAGGACUAUAAUAACAAAAUGAUAGAAGAAUGAUUUCAUUAUCUGAGAUCCAGUAGGGGACCAACCAGUAAAGCAUUGUACCAAUGAUGGGCUAAAUCAUUCUGAAUUUGUGAACUCACCUUAAGGAGUUCUCCUUUUAGGAUAUGUGUGGCUACCUGUGUAUGUUAUCUUUGGGAAAAAUAUAGUCCCCUGUGUAUGUGGGUGCCCACCAGGUUAAAUUCUUGGCAAAAAGAUAAUAAACUGGUACUGGUAAUGUGUUAAAUUGACAAGCUAAUUUAACAUCCUUUGAUGUAUGAUAUAAUGUAAAAUAACAUGAGCAUGAAAAAUGUGAAACAUUACCAGUUAACCAUCCAUUGCAUUUACUGGAUUGGGGUUUUAGAAGUAACCAUUCAUUAUCUGUGAGGUUAAGCAUCCCUCUAAUCUUCUCUAGUUUAGGAAUCAUUAGUGUGUUUUCUAAUGCCAAUCCUUGUUGUUGUAUCCAUAAAUACCUGAUGGCACAAGUACUCCAGUUACUUAGACCUGUAGUGAAUUUCAUAGUUGCAACAGUUAAAUUAUCUAAAUAAUUAUACAUUGAUUUAUCUAAAUCCAAUCCUAUAACCUGUGAUUUAACAACAAUUGGAGCCCAAUUUGCAGUAGCAUGGAAACCAGUCCCUAUAUGCAUGCUGGCUGUGUUUAACUUAUUCUUGAGGGUCUCCAUAUCUAUAACUAUUUAGUAUACCCAUAGUGGUUCCAGCACCAUCUAACAGUGUGUCAUACCAUUCCCUUUUCUGCCUUUUGUUUGCUGUGUUACAUAAUGUUACAACAAGAGUAGUGACUUUUAAUGACACAUGUACAGCUUGUAAGAAGGCAGUUGUAUUAACACAUGUGGACGGAAUAGGUGUGUGUGUGUGUCGUGUUUGACUUUUGGUUCUAUGAUAGUGGAUGAAGGACAGUAAUAAGGUGUAAAAAUAUAAGGUAGUGUAUAGUUCUCAAUUGCAGUGUCGUUCAUAAUGACUAACAUUUGUCCCCUUUUCCAAUUAAUGAUACCAGUUAUAUAAUCAUUAUUAAAAGUAAUAAGGCAUGUCUGUUUACAUUGAUAUGCAACCUUAACUGUGCACAUUUCUGCGUUAUAAGAUCUAACAAUUUUCUGUGAACCUUUAAACAAACAUAAUGCAUCGGUUUCAUUAGCUGUAGACACAUUUCAUAUGGGUAACUGGUACUUAUAAGGGUUACUAUUUGUCCAAUUCAUCCAAAUGCGUUCAGUGAAUGAAUG